AGAGUUUGAUCAUGGCUCAGAUUGAACGCUGGCGGCAGGCCUAACACAUGCAAGUCGAGCGGAUGAAGGGAGCUUGCUCCUGGAUUCAGCGGCGGACGGGUGAGUAAUGCCUAGGAAUCUGCCUGGUAGUGGGGGAUAACGUCCGGAAACGGGCGCUAAUACCGCAUACGUCCUGAGGGAGAAAGUGGGGGAUCUUCGGACCUCACGCUAUCAGAUGAGCCUAGGUCGGAUUAGCUAGUUGGUGGGGUUAAGGCCUACCAAGGCGACGAUCCGUAACUGGUCUGAGAGGAUGAUCAGUCACACUGGAACUGAGACACGGUCCAGACUCCUACGGGAGGCAGCAGUGGGGAAUAUUGGACAAUGGGCGAAAGCCUGAUCCAGCCAUGCCGCGUGUGUGAAGAAGGUCUUCGGAUUGUAAAGCACUUUAAGUUGGGAGGAAGGGCAGUAAGUUAAUACCUUGCUGUUUUGACGUUACCAACAGAAUAAGCACCGGCUAACUUCGUGCCAGCAGCCGCGGUAAUACGAAGGGUGCAAGCGUUAAUCGGAAUUACUGGGCGUAAAGCGCGCGUAGGUGGUUCAGCAAGUUGGAUGUGAAAUCCCCGGGCUCAACCUGGGAACUGCAUCCAAAACUACUGAGCUAGAGUACGGUAGAGGGUGGUGGAAUUUCCUGUGUAGCGGUGAAAUGCGUAGAUAUAGGAAGGAACACCAGUGGCGAAGGCGACCACCUGGACUGAUACUGACACUGAGGUGCGAAAGCGUGGGGAGCAAGCAGGAUUAGAUACCCUGGUAGUCCACGCCGUAAACGAUGUCGACUAGCCGUUGGGAUCCUUGAGAUCUUAGUGGCGCAGCUAACGCGAUAAGUCGACCGCCUGGGGAGUACGGCCGCAAGGUUAAAACUCAAAUGAAUUGACGGGGGCCCGCACAAGCGGUGGAGCAUGUGUUUAAUUCGAAGCAACGCGAAGAACCUUACCUGGCCUUGACAUGCUGAGAACUUUCCAGAGAUGGAUUGGUGCCUUCGGGAACUCAGACACAGGUGCUGCAUGGCUGUCGUCAGCUCGUGUCGUGAGAUGUUGGGUUAAGUCCCGUAACGAGCGCAACCCUUGUCCUUAGUUACCAGCACCUCGGGUGGGCACUCUAAGGUGACUGCCGGUGACAAACCGGAGGAAGGUGGGGAUGACGUCAAGUCAUCAUGGCCCUUACGGCCAGGGCUACACACGUGCUACAAUGGUCGGUACAAAGGGUUGCCAAGCCGCGAGGUGGAGCUAAUCCCAUAAAACCGAUCGUAGUCCGGAUCGCAGUCUGCAACUCGACUGCGUGAAGUCGGAAUCGCUAGUAAUCGUGAAUCAGAAUGUCACGGUGAAUACGUUCCCGGGCCUUGUACACACCGCCCGUCACACCAUGGGAGUGGGUUGCUCCAGAAGUAGCUAGUCUAACCGCAAGGGGGACGGUUACCACGGAGUGAUUCAUGACUGGGGUGAAGUCGAAACAAGGUA
rnacentral:rRNA from 1 species